UGGGGAAUAUUGCGCAAUGGGGGAAACCCUGACGCAGCAACGCCGCGCGAAGGAAGAAGGUUUUCGGAUCGUAAACUUCUUUGAUUGGGGACGAAAGAAAUGACGGUACCCAAAGAACAAGCCACGGCUAACUACGUGCCAGCAGCCGCGGUAAUACGUAGGUGGCGAGCGUUGUCCGGAAUUACUGGGUGUAAAGGGCGUGUAGGCGGGAGGACAAGUCAGAUGUGAAAUUCCAUGGCUCAACUGUGGGACUGCAUCUGAAACUGUUUUUCUUGAGUACUGGAGAGGAAAGUGGAAUUCCUAGUGUAGCGGUGAAAUGCGUAGAUAUUAGGAGGAACACCAGUGGCGAAGGCGACUUUCUGGACAGUAACUGACGCUGAGGCGCGAAAGCGUGGGGAGCAAACAG
rnacentral:rRNA from 1 species